rnacentral:rRNA from 1 species
CCUACGGGGGGCAGCAGUCGAGGAUUUUUCUCAAUGGGGGCAACCCUGAAGGAGCGACGCCGCGUGGAGGAUGAAGGGCUUCGGCUUGUAAACUCCUGUCACCGACGAACAAGGCAUCCGGUUGAACAUUCCGGAUGAUUGAUGGUAGUCGGAGAGGAAGGGGCGGCUAACUCUGUGCCAGCAGCCGCGGUGAUACAGAGGCCCCGAGCGUUGUUCGGAUUUACUGGGCGUAAAGGGUGUGUAGGGGGUCGGGUAAGUUUGACGUGAAAGCCCGCUGCUU